UACGAAGGUCGCAAGCGUUAUCCGGAGUUACUGGGCGUAAAGAGUGCGUAGAUGGUUUAGUAAGUCUGAUUUUAAAGACUCUGUCUCAAGCAGAGGAAGGGGUCAGAUACUGCUAUUCUGGAGAUAACUGGGGGUUAGUGGAAUUACCGGUGGAGGGGUGAAAUCCGUUGAUAUCGGUAGGAACGCCAAAAGCGAAAGCAGCUAACUAUGGUUUUCUGACAUUCAAGCACGAAAGCUCGGGGAUCAAACGGG
rnacentral:rRNA from 1 species